GGGGCUAGCCUCAAGGUGAGAGAUACGGAGGUAGAGCACUGAAUGUCCUAGGGGGUAUUGCACCUACCGAAGACUAUCAAACUCCGAAUGCCGUCAUCUUAUACUUGGGAGUCAGACUGUGGGUGAUAAGAUUCAUAGUCGAAAGGGCAACAGCCCAGAUCGUCAGCUAAGGUCCCUAAAUGUAAGUUAAGUGGUAAAGGAUGUGGGAUUGCACAGACAACCAGGAUGUUGGCUUAGAAGCAGCCACUCAUUCAAAGAGUGCGUAAUAGCUCACUGGUCGAGUGAUCCUGCGCCGAAGAUUUCCGGGGCUAAAACUUACUACCGAAGCUACGGCAUCAGUAAUGAUGGGUAGGGGAGCUUCCCAUACGGGUUGAAGCAUGACCGUAAGGGCAUGUGGACAGUAUGGGAGUGAGAAUGUUGGCAUGAGUAGCGAGAUGUGGGUGAGAAUCCCACAGGCCGUAAACCCAAGGUUUCCAGGGGAAGGUUCGUCCGCCCUGGGUUAGUCGGGACCUAAGCUGAGGCCGAAAGGCGUAGGUGAUGGACAACAGGUUGAUAUUCCUGUACUACCGAUAACCGUUUGAGAGAAGGGAUGACACAGUAGGAUAAGCUAAGCACACUGUUGGUUAUGUGUGCCCAAGCAUUGAGGCAGUCUAAAGUAGGCAAAUCCGCUUUGAUAAUGCUGGGAUGUGAUGGGGAGCGAAAUUUUAGUAGCGAAGUAGCUGAUUUCACACUGUCAAGAAAAGUCUCUAUCGAGGGUAAAGGUACCCGUACCGCAAACCGACACAGGUGGGUGAGGAGAGUAUCCUAAGGCCAGCGAGAGAACUGUUGUUAAGGAACUCGGCAAAAUGACCCCGUAACUUAGGGAUAAGGGGUGCCACCAUCAGGUGGCCGCAGAGAAUAGGCCCAAGCGACUGUUUACCAAAAACAUAGGUUUCUGCUAAGUCGCAAGACGAUGUAUAGGAGCUGACGCCUGCCCGGUGCUGGAAGGUUAAGGGGAUCUGUUAGAGCAAUCGAAGCAGUGAACUUAAGCCCCAGUAAACGGCGGCCGUAACUAUAACGGUCCUAAGGUAGCGAAAUUCCUUGUCGGGUAAGUUCCGACCCGCACGAAAGGCGUAACGAUUUGGGCACUGUCUCAACAACAGACUCGGUGAAAUUGUAAUUCCGGUGAAGAUGCCGGAUACCUGCGACAGGACGGAAAGACCCCAUGGAGCUUUACUGUAGCUUGACAUUGGGUCUUGGUACUACAUGUACAGGAUAGGUGGGAGGCUUUGAAACCAGGACGCCAGUUUUGGCGGAGCCAUCCUUGGGAUACCACCCUUGUAGUACUGGGACUCUAACCAUAGGCCAUGAAUCUGGUCUUGGGACACUGUCAGGUGGGCAGUUUGACUGGGGCGGUCGCCUCCCAAAAGGUAACGGAGGCGCUCAAAGGUUCUCUCAGUACGGUCGGAAAUCGUACGUAGAGUGUAAAGGCAAAAGAGAGCUUGAUUGCAAGACAUACAGGUCGAGCAAGGAUGAAAAUCGGACUUAGUGAUCCGGUGGUUCUGCGUGGAAGGGCCAUCGCUCAACGGAUAAAAGCUACCCUGGGGAUAACAGGCUUAUCUCCCCCAAGAGUCCACAUCGACGGGGAGGUUUGGCACCUCGAUGUCGGCUCAUCACAUCCUGGGGCUGUAGUAGGUCCCAAGGGUUGGGCUGUUCGCCCAUUAAAGUGGUACGCGAGCUGGGUUCAGUACGUCGUGAGACAGUUCGGUCCCUAUCCGUCGCAGGCGUAGGAAAUUUGAGAAGACCUGUCCUUAGUACGAGAGGACCGGGAUGGACGUACCUCUGGUGUACCAGUUGUUCUGCCAAGGGCAUGGCUGGGUAGCUAUGUACGGAAUGGAUAAGCGCUGAAAGCAUCUAAGCGCGAAGCCAACUUCAAGAUAAGAUUUCCCACCGCAAGGGUAAGACCCCAGAAAGACUAUCUGGUUGAUAGGUCGAAGGUGUAAGUGCAGCAAUGUAUUUAGCUUAUCGAUACUAAUAGGUCGAGGACUUGACCAA
rnacentral:rRNA from 1 species